AUGCCAAACAAAGUCUACUCGAUCGACAUGAGUCCGUCGCUUCCUGUACUCCUCCCGCUCCUACUCGCCACCUUCUUUGCCAUCGCCCAUGCCGAAGCCGACACGGCCGCCGUGCCGUUACCAAGCCUAGCUACGUAUCCGACGCCGGCUUGGACACCCGUGUCCCCACCGCCACCUUCUACACCGGAGUGGUCGCCAGUGUCCACGCCUCCACCUCCGCCACCGGCGUGGACGCCCGUGUCCUCCCCACCACCUCCACUGCAGGCGUCCCCGCCACCACCUCCACCGCCGGCGUGGACGCCCGUGGCGGACGUGAACGUUCAGUCGAUCAAGCAGGUCGGGCAGUUCGCCGUCCGCAUCCACGCCCUCCAUGUGGAGGUAGACCUGGUGUUCGUGAAAGUCGUCAGCUGCCGGACCCAGCCGUCGAGCGACGGGUUCAUCUACCAGCUGGUGGUCGCCGUGACGGGCUCCGGCGCCGAGUCGCCGCAGUACGACGCGGUCGUGUGGGGCAUCCUUGGGACAAUGCGCUGGGAGCUCCGGUCCUUCAAGCCAAAGUAA
rnacentral:rRNA from 1 species